CUUCAGGAGUGAAGCUGCAGACCUUCGCGUGAUGGAGGUUGAGAAGUCCAACUUCAAGGCACCACAUCUGGUGAGAGCCUUCAUUCCGAUGACAGCCUUCAUGCUGGUAAGAUUUUCUUCAGAGUUCCAAGGUGGUGCACGGCAUCACAUGGCGAAGGAAAUGAGCGUGCUAGCUCAGGUGUCUCUUCCUCUUCUUAUAAAGCCACCAGUCCCACUCCUGUGCUAGUAACUCUUUAAUCCAUCAACCCAUUAAUCCAUGAAUAGAUUAACCCAUGAGGCCUCUGCCCUCAGGACCCAAUCACCUCUUAAAGGCCUGACCUGUCAAUAUUGCCAUACUGGGGACUCAGUUUCAACAUGAGUUUUGAAAGGGACAAACAUUCAAUCCAUAGUAACAUGAGAGCUUUUCAAAGCCCUUCUUUGUUGAAGUAUGUCCUUCUCCAGCCUCUUUUUUCCCAGGCUUUUUGUUUUUUCUAUUGCUUGUGCAGCUGUUAUCCUUUGCUACAGGUGGCAAUAGCUAAUACAUUUGCCUUUAAAUUUGUUUGACAAACACCACCCUGGAAGUAGCCUCAACUCUGGGGAAGCUCCAAGACAGGUAAAAUACAGGUAAGCCCUUGAGCAGAUCCUUCAGGAAGCUACCAUAUGGGUCAAAACACAGAACCACAAUUCUUUAAUUCUUUGAGAAUAAGGUCUGUAUUGUUCCCUCUGUUACCAGCAACCUGCAGCAGGAAAAUGGGCUUCAGUUUUCAAGUCUGCAGCUGAGUUGGGAAGUUGCGGACAGUAACCAGGAUCGCUGUCCUUAUAAGAAGUGGAAGAAACAUCAGAGAGCUCUCCCUCUCCACACACACAGAGGAAAGGCCACAUGGGGACAAGAGAGGGCAACUGUCUACAAAUCUGGAAGAGAGACUUCAGAAGAAACCAGCACUGAUGGCAUCUGAUCUUGGACUUCCAGCCUCUGGAUCUAUCUGCCAGAGCCUGAUCUCAUACACACUGAUGUGGUACAGGAAAUGCCACCUGAAAAUAUGGUACCUUGGCAUUUGAGGAAACAGUAGAAGGAGGUCAUAGAAACUAGAAAGAAUUCCUCCUUGCUCUUUGUCCCCCAAAGGAGCCAUAAAACCUGGGCCGAGUUUCUUCUGAAAAUAAGUUAUAAGAUCCUUAUUCCAGAGGGGUCCUGCCCUGUGCCUGGAGGAAAAGAAUGAAGACACAGAGAUGCCUUGAAGAAUCUGAACAAACAGCCCUUGCUAAGUUCCCCCCAGUUUAUUGACAUUAGAUUAGACCUUUUGUCCUCCAAUUAUACUUCUGUGUUCCUGAAAAUACACAUUUUCCCGUUUUUUCUUUUGUUUGCUUUUUUUGAUCUUCAUUUCUGAAGA
rnacentral:lncRNA from 1 species